AUUUCCUCAGCUGAGGCUCCUUCCUCUGAUGACUUUAGCUUGUGUCAAGUUGACACACAAAACCAGCCAGUACAGUCUGCAUCUUCUAGCUUCUGGGACUGUCUUGAUACCCGACAGAGGCUGUCACCUCAGCUGUUGGUCCAGGAUAUAGCGCGGUGACCCCACCUCUAAAGUGCUGCCUGGGCAGCCUCCAUCCUGGAGAGGUGCUGGGUUUCCUGACCUGAGUCCCGCUCCCACGAGCUGCUGAGUGAGUGCCUUCUCAUGCGGACAGUGUUCUGAUGAUGUCCCCAUCAUCCACUGAGUGGAUCCACGAUGCCCUCUAACCUUUUCCUGUGAAGACUUGCAGCGAGCUGACAGGAUGUGGUCUCCCGGGCUGUGGGAGGUCUUCUUGCAACUUCAGAGAAACGGUGCCCAAGGCUGAAACUUGCUGAGAGCAGAGCAAAGCACUGCCUGGGGACAGCAGAGCAAAGCACUGCCUGGGGACCUGUGCGUGACUCCUUCCCUCCUCUCCCUCUCCCAUACCCUGCGUAAAUGAACCUCUGCCUCUGAACUUCCAUCUACGCAGGCCAGGUUGAAUCAGCACAACUCCUGUUAUCUCCCAUGCACACCCCUCCAAAAAAGAUUUACUAAUGGCGCUUUGACAGGGAGGACAACACGAACAAAUCAUGUGCCCAACCCAGUUUGUCUCCCAUCCCACUUUGAAAAAUCAAGUCUUUGAGUCCAGAAUAGCGAAACGGUUUAAUAAAACAAUCCGUGUCCGGA